UACGAAGGGGGCUAGCGUUGCUCGGAAUCAUUGGGCGUAAAGCGCGCGUAGGCGGCCCGGUAAGUCCGCUGUAAAAGUCAAAGGCUCAACCUUUGAAUGUCAGUGGAUACUGCCGGGCUAGAGUCCGGAAGAGGCGAGUGGAACUCCUGGUGUAGCGGUGGAAUGCGCAGAUAUCAGGAAGAACACCGACGGCGAAGGCAGCUCGCUGGGACGGUACUGACGCUGAGGCGCGAAAGCGUGGGGAGCGAACAGG
rnacentral:rRNA from 1 species